UACGUAGGCAGCGAGCGUUGUUCGGAAUUACUGGGGCGUAAAGAGUGUGUAGGCGGUGCUCUAAGUUCGGUGUGAAAUCUCCUGCUUAACUGGGAGGGUGCGCCGGAAACUGGAGUGCUCGAGCGUGGGAGAGGAAAGCGGAAUUCCUGGUGUAGCGGUGAAAUGCGUAGAUAUCAGGAGGAACACCUGCGGUGUAGACGGCUUUCUGGACCAUUGCUGACGCUGAGACACGAAAGCGUGGGUAGCAAACAGG
rnacentral:rRNA from 1 species